AGUGGCGGACGGGUGAGUAACGCGUGAGAAUCUGCCUUCAGGUCGGGGACAACAGAGGGAAACUUCUGCUAAUCCCGGAUGAGCCUUAGGGUAAAAAAUUUAUUGCCUGGAGAUGAGCUCGCGUCUGAUUAGCUAGUUGGUAAGGUAAAAGCUUACCAAGGCAACGAUCAGUAGCUGGUCUGAGAGGAAGAGCAGCCACACUGGGACUGAGACACGGCCCAGACUCCUACGGGAGGCAGCAGUGGGGAAUUUUCCGCAAUGGGCGAAAGCCUGACGGAGCAAGACCGCGUGGGGGAGGAAGGCUCUAGGGUUGUAAACCCCUUUUCUUUGGGAAGAACAAAAUGACGGUACCAAAGGAAUCAGCCUCGGCUAACUCCGUGCCAGCAGCCGCGGUAAUACGGAGGAGGCAAGCGUUAUCCGGAAUGAUUGGGCGUAAAGCGUCCGCAGGUGGCAAUGUAAGUCUGCUGUCAAAACCCAGGGCUCAACUCUGGUCAGGCAGUGGAAACUACAUAGCUAGAGUUCGGUAGGGGCAAAGGGAAUUCCCGGUGUAGCGGUGAAAUGCGUAGAGAUCGGGAAGAACAUCGGUGGCGAAAGCGCUUUGCUAGACCGAAACUGACACUCAGGGACGAAAGCUAGGGGAGCGAAUGGGAUUAGAUACCCC
rnacentral:rRNA from 1 species